CUGGAAGAUUUGAAAUCCCUAGAUUGUAAGCUACUUGAGAGCUACUAAGAACGAUGAUCAGAUCAUUUCUUCUAGUGCCAUGCCUAACAAACAGAUUCUCUAUUAGUGUUUAUUGAAUUUAAUUAAAUGUAAGUAACAGAGAAGAAAUAAAAUAUUUUAUAUGACAUGUGUAAAAUUAUAGACUCUUACUAGCAUUAAUUUAAAAUGCUUAUUUAGAUCCAUAUUUAUUGACUUGGAGUAAUGUUCACAGUACACUGUUGGAUGAAAAAAAAGGGAACAUUCCAAAAUAUAACAUAUACUAAGAUUAAUUUAUGUUUCCUAGCUAGAAUACUGUAUAUGUAUAGUUCUCUAUAACUGAACAAUUUUUAGGCCAUAUAGUAUAGUGGUUCAGUAUGUGGGCUUUGGAAUCAGACCACCAGGAUUUAAAAUCAUGAUACCCUUUCCUUCAGUUGAGUAACUUUGAGUAAAUUACUUAAUUAUUCUGUGCCUCAAUUUUGUGACUAUAAAAUGGGGUAACAAUAAAACUUACCUCAUAGAGUUAUGAUAAACAUUGAAAGAGAUCAUAUGUAUAAAAAUAUUUACUCUAAUAUCUGGUUUAUAGUAAACAUGCAAAUAAUUUAUUAUUAUAUCUUGUUGUUAUGGAAGGAAUGUGGAAUAAGACUUACCCAAAUGUUGUCUUUUUUCCUCUUUUAUUACUUUAAUUAAGAACAUAAUUUUAUAAUUUGAUAACAGUAAAGCAUUUUUUGAAAAUUUGAGGAAGAUAAUGUUUUGUGUUAGAAGGAAAUUUAGAUGGUAUUUAUCCCGUUUUCCAAGUACAGGAACCCCCAAUGUAACUUUCCUAAGAUACUAACAUUCAACCUCUGCAGAAGCUCCUCAUGCUACCUCUUAACUAGACUGUAAGGUUUCUAAGGACAGAUCCUAUAUCUAUAUCCUAUAUCCAGAUUCUAUAUUCUAUCCAGUCUUUUUUGAAUGCCCCAUGGAGUAAUCACUGCAUAAAUUGUACUUUAAUGAGGUAUACUUAGAGAAAUCAAGAGCCUUCUGUCAUUCCCUCCCAAGAUAUAGCUGCCCUACCAUGGGAUAUACUCUGGUUUUUAAUACAGUUCUCAUUCUCCCUUCACAUCUGAGAGGAUUCCAGUAAAAUGGCUUCCCAGGGACUGAAGGAAAAAAUACCCAUCCCUAGCCACUCCCCUGGGUCUUUUUCACAAGAAGAGGUUAUAUGAAAUUUUAACUUUUCUUGGCAUCAUUAGCCUUAACAUCUGUCUCUCAAACAGCAGCCGAGUCCUUAAAAAGCGGAUUAAGAAGAUUGCAGCAGGAGUAUAACACGAAGGAUUGUCCGUGAGGGACUAUCUACAAGGGUUCUCUACUCUCUACCCCUCACAAGUUGCCCUACAAAAAUGUUUAAUUCAGUAGUUCUCAGAAUCAACUUGGCAUCUUGGGGAGUGGGGAAGAAAAGAAAAGAAACCUGUACUUUAGAAUGCAUAUUACAGGUUACCUGUAGGACUUGGGGUUCUUAAUUUGGUAUUAAUAGUCUGUUAACAACUCCCCAGUCUUUACCCAGACUCCAAUUACUUGCAGCUCUAGCCAUGCCUAAGUGUCUUCCAGGAGUAAACCUUUAGCUAGAAAUGUCCCUAACCUUUGGGUAGUACUGCAUGCUGGAAGCACUUUUAAGGGAAACACUAAAAUAUCUGUGGAAAGAAUAAAGUUGAAUUAGUGAUUAUGUAGCAUACAGCUCUCAAAGAACUAGAAGCCAUACGCAAGACUAAACAAUACACAUGUAUUGAAAAAGAUUAGAUAUAUACCACUUACUUUCUGCCAGGUGUUAAGCAGAUUGGACUUGGUUUUGCCCCUUCAAGGUUAUGUUCACUCUGUCACUGUGAAGUAAGCCCUACCCUUUGAGCAAUCAUUCGCACAUGAGCUUACAAAGCUGCUCACACAGGGCCAGAGAAUAACAGCAAACAGCCUCAACUCAGGCAACUCCUCUGUUCACUAGGAACACAUUGAUAGCCUUCCUGUUCCUCCCUUCUUUAGGUGACUUCCAGGAUUCUUCCCUCUUGUUAUCUACCUGGACUUUGGGCACCUCUAAGCUCCAUCCUUCAGUUGACCUCUUGGCUUGCCCUGUAGAAAGACACUGUUGCUCUGCUGAGACAGUAAUUUAAAAAAUAGCAAUGUUGAAGAGUGUGUCAAAAUACCAGGAAGAUGCUAUUACAAUAUAUUUAUAAUCUUCUGAGAAGCUCUUUCCAUAGAAGAAAUGAGGACUUUUUUUUUAAACUCUGGGAAGUAUUAGAUUGUUCUGUUGAUUCUGAUGUUCUCAGAAGACAUGAACUUUAUUGUGGCUUUCCUUACAUCACCAAUGCAACAUCAGGACCCAGUAAUAAACACAUGUCUGUUUGUCACAUUGAUCCUUAUGUAUAACCCGAGACUGCCAGUAGCCCUUGAAAAUUGUUGAAAUCCAUGGAUGCCUACUUGGUCCUGUCUGGGCUACUUGUGAGAUCUAUACCUCAAUUUCCUCAUCUAUAAACUAGGGAUACCACUUUUUCCUGCCUCUUACUGAGGAUUAAAUGAGGAAGCCCUCAAUCAGGGUUAGCUAGUUUUGCUAUUUUCCUUCCUUUACUAUCUAGAUGUUUUUUUCCUCCUCGACACUCUUUCCUUUCCCACUUCAUGAGCUUAUUCCAUUUUUCCAGCUUUUAAUUUUGACAAAGCCUUGUGACUUUGGCGCCAUCAUCAGAUCUUCAGAAGUUCAUUUGCCAUUUUUAUUAAUUUCAUAUUAUUCAUUAUUUAUUGACAUAUUUAAAUAUCUGUCAUUGGUCAGCUGCUUAAUUAUGUCAAAGUCAAUAAGUAUUUCUACAAUUCUUUUUGUUAGUGAUUGCUGCUGCACAGUUGCAAGAUAGCUGCCUUAGCUUCAGGCAUGAUGUUCAUAUUAAAGGCAGCAAGGCAUAGGGAGAAGGAAAAGGGGUUAUGCUACCCGUUAAUCUAGGAAAACCUAAAAGCCUUCCCGGAGGCCCUCAGCAAACUUUGCUUUGCAUCUCACUGACCGUAUCGUUGGUGGAUUCUGUAUCUCAUGAUCACUGCUACCUGCAGUAGGUGAUACAAAAUAAUUGUUUAGCUUUCCCAGCCUUUGUAGAGGAAGUGGCAUGGAAGGAACUUGAGAAUUAUGAGUGAGUUCACUGAUGAACAGGGUCAACUACAUUUUUUUUACUGGGAAGUAAGUACAAAACAGUUAAGCACACACAUACACAUACAUACACAGGCAAGAUAUCAAGAAAACAAACAAACAAAAAAAAACUGAAAACCCAGAGGAAGAAACUGUAGCCUGGUACCUUACUCAAUAUUGCUUUCAUGGUAACUUUUUCUCCGUAUAUCAUUUCUCCUUGUCUAAAGUGUGAAUUAAAAUUCAUCACUUCCCAGCUUCUGACUGUCUGGCUCUAAGUAAAAGCUUAAAGAUGAAGACACAAUAAUUGUAACUUGGAAAGGAUCAACAAGAUUUCUCAUCUGAACUACCAUAAAUUACUCUAGAAAUGUGGCUCUUCUUUAAUUUCCCUGGACUAUCUAAAGAGUUUCUUAACUAAUUAUCUUAUUAGCCUCGCUCUUUAUGCCACUGAAGGUCAUUUUUUUGGUUACCAUUUUAGUAGAGAGAGUGAAGAAUGUAUUGGUGCCCACAUGUUAUGUUUCUCGUUGUCCAACUUUAGAGCAUAAGUUCUGACAUAUUCAAAAACUCUGAUGAAGCAGUGACUCAUCUGACUGGUAGGAAAAACUCACUCAUGUGGUGCCUUAAACAGACAGCAAAUCUGGGUAGGCAUGAAGUGGUUCCAUGAAUCCCCAAAUCCAUUUAUUAUUAUUGAGUUAGAAAAGAUAGUCAGGCAAUGUGUUUCUGAGAGCAUCUAGGGAAGAAUCUAAGGAGCAUUUUCUGAGUCCUGAUGCCCUCAAUUUCUUUAGUUUAAGCCUUUCUGCUUCUGUAAGGAACACAUUGAUGAAUUAUAGGUCUGCAGUGAAGGGUAAUCAUGUGUUAGCUUAAGUAAGGUGCCAUGCCUUGAUUGCAGUGUUCAGUAUUGAAUACCUUCACUGCAUCUCAGAUCCAGUUGUUGAAAUGUAAAUUAUGUGAAUUGUGUGUGAAUUUAUAAAAGUCAAACACACUAUUGAAUUCAAGUCAUGAGUUGUGAACUGAAGGCAGUGGGUUUUAGAUUAAAUGAACACCUUAUUAGACUUGUUGGUAGAGAAGUGAACAUGUUUUUGUAUGCCUGCUAUGUGUUAGGCUAAAUAACCCUGUAAAGUAUUUUCCAUCUUUGUUUUAAAAGAUGAGACAUUAAAGCUUAGAGGGACCAAUUAAUUUGCCUAAGUUUAUAAAGGUGAGAACAAGAAGGUGUCCAAUACAUUUCCUUUUGUUCUUUAUGUUACAUAAUUUAAAUAUAUUUACACUUAUUCUUUCAGAUAUAUCUGGAUUUUAUUAUUUUACAAAAGGAAAUAUCAUGGAACUUUUCCAUGUCUGUAACAGAAGUCCCUAGAUAUACACCAGGAUGGUACUUUAUUUCUUCUGGGACCUGUGAAGUUAUUCAGUCUCCUCCUGGAACAAUUGUAUAGCUAACACUACUUCCCCCUGAAAGCAUCCCCCGGCUGAUGAUGACAGUUAAGUGAAAAGCUAUACAAGAAUCCUCUUGACUUCCUAACAUAAAAUAUGUAAGCACACUUACCCUUUGCUGAUUAUGAAUUAACUGAUGCUACAGCUUUGCUGUCACAGCUGAUGAGAACCUAAAAUUAGUGCUCCCAGGUGUGUUGUAUAGGCACACAGGGCAGGUGCAUUCUGGGAGCCCUUCCCAAUUCCUGGUUGCACCUUACUGAGAUUAGAAAAUUGGCAACCUAUGGAUGCUGCAGAAAUGCCAGGAAAGUCUCAUUUGACUAGAAAGAAGGGAGGCAAAGAAGUCACUUGUUCACUUGUUUUGUUCUUGGAUCAAAAGAUUCUAGUCUCAUGUUUCUUCAGCCUAGUCACUCUGGGAAUUCAUUGUCUCACCUCAAGGGCUGGCAUUAGCCUCAUUCUUCAUGGUGUACUGCACUGGACCAACUGUGAAAUCUUGUACAAUGAGGAAGCACUCUCUGGCUUUGAAGGUAUCUCAAACAGGUGUGAAAUAUGAGAUCUGAUUUUAUUAAAUACAUUAUCUUCAUAAGCUUAGUAAAGGAGUCAGAGGGUAACUUUCUUUGUUCAGAGUUAUUCUCAUGUCCCAGUGAACUGAGGGCAUUACUCCUGUCUGCCUCAUUUGUCUCAGCCUUUACAUAGCAGAUUAAGUGGAUUUCCCAAUAUCUGGAGAACAAGCAGAAGGAAAUGCUCAUAAAAAAGAGAUUGGUUAUGGUGCUUAUUCUCACUGACAAUGUUCUUCUUGCUUCGUUGGAGGAAUGGGAUUAUUCUGAAAUGCCUCCAUGCCUAAUUUUCUCUUCCUUGAAACGCCCAGGGAGACAAAUGAAUAGUAUUUACCCAAAUUAUAUAAAUCAUUAUAUUUCAUCAACACAGUUGUUCCUCUUGACAUUUGCAAAGUGCCUUUUAGUAGUUCUUACUAGAGUCAGUGCUCAUAAUUCUCUAGUAAAUAAGAGGAGUUUGUACAUCCUCUUCACAGGUAAGAUCCUUGAAG
rnacentral:lncRNA from 1 species